rnacentral:rRNA from 1 species
GAUGAACGCUAGCGACAGGCCUAACACAUGCAAGUCGAGGGGCAGCGGGCAUGAAGCUUGCUUCAUCUGCCGGCGACCGGCGCACGGGUGAGUAACACGUAUGCAACCUGCCCGCCACAGGGGGAUAAACGCUGGAAACGGCGCCUAAUACCCCAUACUAUCGCUAUGCUGCAUGGCAUGGCGAUGAAAACUCCGGUGGUGGCGGAUGGGCAUGCGGCGCAUUAGCUAGUUGGAGGGGUGACGGCCCACCAAGGCGACGAUGCGUAGGGGUUCUGAGAGGAAGGUCCCCCACACUGGUACUGAGACACGGACCAG